CCCUUAGAUGUCCUGGGCCGCACGCGUGCUACACUGACGCAUACAGCGAGCACUUUCCAGUUCCGAGAGGCUACUGGUAAUCAUCAAUACGCGUCGUGAUGGGGAUAGAUCUUUGGAAUUCUGGAUCUUGAACGAGGAAUGCCUAGUAAUCGCAGGUCAUUAGCCUGCGAUGAUUAAGUCCCUGCCCUUUGUACACACCGCCCGUCGCUACUACCGAUUUCGAGUGGUCAGGUGAAUCUUUCGGACUGUGGGCGCCCUUGAGGUGUUCGCGGAAAGUCAGGUAAAUCUUAUCACUUAGAGGAAGUAAAAGUCGUAACA
rnacentral:rRNA from 1 species